UACGUAGGGUGCGAGCGUUGUCCGGAAUUAUUGGGCGUAAAGAGCUUGUAGGCGGUUUGUCGCGUCUGCUGUGAAAUCUCAAGGCUCAACCUUGAGCUUGCAGUGGGUACGGGCAGACUAGAGUGUGGUAGGGGAGACUGGAAUUCCUGGUGUAGCGGUGAAAUGCGCAGAUAUCAGGAGGAACACCGAUGGCGAAGGCAGGUCUCUGGGCCACUAACUGA
rnacentral:rRNA from 1 species